GUGCUUGCUUUGAUGGCAUAUAUACUAAAAUUGGAACGCUAUAGGGAAAAUUAGCAUGGCCCCUGUGGGAGGAUGAUAAGCAAAUUCGUGAAGCUUUCAAUAUUUUU
rnacentral:snRNA from 1 species